rnacentral:rRNA from 1 species
GGACUACUGGGGUAUCUAAUCCCGUUCGCUCCCCUGGCUUUCGCACCCGAGCGUCAGUGACUCCCCAGGAUGGUGCCUUCGCCUUUGGUGUUCUUCCGGAUCUCUACGCAUUUCACCACUCCACCCGGAAUUCCCCAUCCCUCUGAAGCCCUCAAGUCUCCCAGUUUUCGUAAGCCUGACACAGUUAAGCUGUGCCCUGUCCCUACAAACUUAAGAGACCGCCUGCGUGCGCUUUACGCCCAGUAACUCCGGACAACGCUCGCCUCCUACGUAUUACCGCGGCUGCUGGCAC